AAGAAAAAAGGCAAGUGUCCUCAGGAAGAGUACUACCAUCCUGAGAACAUUGAUUUUGUAUCCUUACUACUUCAUUGUUUUUGUAUCCUUACUACUACUACUGUACUUUUUAAAACAACAGGAGGAGCGAGGUAAGAUGCGGU
rnacentral:ribozyme from 14 species